UACGGGGGGGGCAAGCGUUGUUCGGAAUUACUGGGCGUAAAGGGCUCGUAGGCGGCCAACUAAGUCAUACGUGAAAUCCCUCGGCUUAACCGGGGAACUGCGUCUGAUACUGGAUGGCUUGAGUUCGGGAGAGGGAUGCGGAAUUCCAGGUGUAGCGGUGAAAUUCGUAGAUAUUGGGAAGAACACCGGUGGCGAAGGCGGCUCACUGGACCGACACUGACGCUGAGGCGCGAAAGCGUGGGGAGCAAACAGG
rnacentral:rRNA from 1 species